rnacentral:piRNA from 1 species
UGCUAAGCCUGGCCUCCUCCCUCUGC